AACGAACGCUGGCGGCAUGCCUAACACAUGCAAGUCGAACGAAACCUUCGGAUUUCGUGCAGCACGUGAGCGUAACGCGUGGGAACCUGCUCUUAGGUUCGGAAUAACUCUCUGAAAGGGGGGCAAAUACCGGAAAAUGUCUCUGGUACAAAGUAUUAUUGACCUUGGCUUGGACCGCGUUGGAAUAGCUGGUUGGUGGGGUAAAAGCCAACGACGGCAACGAUAUAUAGCUGGUCUGAGAGGAAGGGCGGCCAGACUGGGACUGAGACACGGCCCAGACUCGUACGGGAGGCAGCAGUAGGGAAUCUUCCGCAAUGGACGAAAGUCUGACGGAGUAAGGCCGCGUGAGUGAAGAAGGUUUUCGGAUCGUAAAACUCUGUUGUAAGGGAAGAACAAGUACGUUAGUAACUGAACGUACCUUGACGGUACCUUACCAGAAAGCCACGGCUAACUACGUG
rnacentral:rRNA from 1 species